UAGUCAUAUGCUUGUCUCAAAGAUUAAGCCAUGCAUGUCUAAGUAUAAACUGCUUUAUACUGUGAAACUGCGAAUGGCUCAUUAAAUCAGUUAUAGUUUAUUUGAUGGUACUUACUUACUCGGAUACCCGUAGUAAUUCUAGAGCUAAUACGUGCGUACAUCCCGACUUCUGGAAGGGACGUAUUUAUUAGAUAAAAGGCCGACCGGGCUUGCCCGACUCGCGGUGACUCAUGAUAACUUCACGAAUCGCAUGGCCUUGCGCCGGCGAUGUUUCAUUCAAAUUUCUGCCCUAUCAACUUUUGAUGGUAGGAUAGAGGCCUACCAUGGUGGUAACGGGUGACGGAGAAUUAGGGUUCGAUUCCGGAGAGGGAGCCUGAGAAACGGCUACCACAUCCAAGGAAGGCAGCAGGCGCGCAAAUUACCCAAUCCUGAUACAGGGAGGUAGUGA
rnacentral:rRNA from 1 species